GACGAACGCUGGCGGCGUGCUUAACACAUGCAAGUCGAACGCUGAACCCGCUUCGGUGGGGGAUGAGUGGCGAACGGGUGAGUAACACGUGGGCAACCUGCCCCCGGCUCUGGGAUAACUCCAAGAAAUUGGGGCUAAUACCGGAUGUGACUGCUUGCCGCAUGGUCUGGUGGUGGAAAGGGUUUCCGGCUGGGGAUGGGCCCGCGGCCUAUCAGCUUGUUGGUGGGGUAGUGGCCUACCAAGGCGACGACGGGUAGCCGGCCUGAGAGGGUGACCGGCCACACUGGGACUGAGAGACGGCCCAGACUCCUACGGGAGGCAGCAGUGGGGAAUAUUGCGCAAUGGGCGGAAGCCUGACGCAGCGACGCCGCGUGGGGGAUGACGGCCUUCGGGUUGUAAACCUCUUUCAGCAGGGACGAAGCGCAAGUGACGGUACCUGCAGAAGAAGCACCGGCCAACUACGUG
rnacentral:rRNA from 1 species